rnacentral:snRNA from 1 species
GGUCAAUCUAUAGAUAAUAC